CCUGCUGGACGACAACUGACGCUGAGGCGCGAAAGCGUGGGGAGCAAACAGGAUUAGAUACCCUGGUAGUCCACGCCGUAAACGAUGGAUACUAGGUGUGGGGGGACUGACCCCUUCCGUGCCGCAGUUAACACAAUAAGUAUCCCACCUGGGGAGUACGAUCGCAAGAUUGAAACUCAAAGGAAUUGACGGGGGCCCGCACAAGCAGUGGAUUAUGUGGUUUAAUUCGACGCAACGCGAAGAACCUUACCGGGAUUUGACAUCCCACUAACGAAGUAGAGAUACAUUAGGUGCCCUUCGGGGAAAGUGGAGACAGGUGGUGCAUGGUUGUCGUCAGCUCGUGUCGUGAGAUGUUGGGUUAAGUCCCGCAACGAGCGCAACCCUUAUUGUUAGUUGCUACGCAAGAGCACUCUAGCGAGACUGCCGUUGACAAAACGGAGGAAGGCGGGGACGACGUCAAAUCAUCAUGCCCCUUAUGUCCCGGGCUACACACGUAAUACAAUGGCGGUCAACAGAGGGAAGCAAAGCCGCGAGGCAGAGCAAAACCCUAAAAGCCGUCUCAGUUCGGAUCGCAGUCUGCAACUCGACUGCGUGAAGUUGG
rnacentral:rRNA from 1 species